AGCGGGGCCCAUCCCGUAAGGCUAAAUACUCCCGAGAGACCGAUAGCGAACCAGUACUGUGAAGGAAAGGUGAAAAGAACCUCGAACAGAGGAGUGAAAGAGACCCUGAAACCAUGCGCCUACAAGCGGUCGGAGCAUGUUAAAAUGUGACGGCGUGCCUUUUGCAUAAUGAACCUACGAGUUACUCUCGCUGGCAAGGUUAAGCGAUUCAGUCGCGCAGCCGAAGCGAAAGCAAGUCCGAAUAAGGCGUACAGUCAGCGGGAGUAGACGCGAAACCAAGUGAUCUACCCUUGGUCAGGUUGAAGGUUGGGUAACACCAACUGGAGGACCGCACCGAUAAGCGUUGAAAAGCUUACGGAUGAACUGAGGGUAGGAGUGAAAGGCCAAUCAAACUUGGAGAUAGCUCGUACUCCCCGAAAUGCAUUUAGGUGCAGCCUCGAAGUAAAGUGAUAGAGGUAGAGCGACUGAUAAGAUGCGAGGGCUUCACCGCCUAUCAAGUCUUGACAAACUCCGAAUACUAUCACUUGAUCUUUGGGAGUGAGGGCAUGGGUGCUAAGGUCCAUGUCCGAAAGAGGAACAACUCAGACCACCAGCUAAGGUCCCGAAAUAAGGGCUAAGUUGAAUAAACGAAGUAAAACUGCAAAGACAGCUAGGAUGUUGGCUUGGAAGCAGCCAUUCAUUUAAAGAGUGCGUAACAGCUCACUAGUCGAGGAGUUUUGCAUGGAUAAUAAUCGGGCAUAAGCCCUUUACCGAAGCUGUGGAUGUCGUAAGACAUGGUAGGGGAGCAUUCCGGCGGCGACGAAGGCCGUCCUCGAGGACGACUGGAGCUUUCGGAAAAGCAAAUGUAGGUAUAAGUAACGAUAAAGGGGGCGUGAAACCCCCUCGCCAUAAGACUAAGGAUUCCUGAUCAACGCUAAUCGGAUCAGGGUAAGUCGGGCCCUAAGGCGCAGCCGAACGGCGUAGCCGAUGGAAGAAACGGUAAAGAUUCCGUUACUGGAUAUAGGAGCGAUGUGGAGACGGAGAAGUGACACACCCGCCUGCCGACGGAAGCGCAGGUUAAAGGAAGUAGGUAAACGCCGGGUAGGCAAAUCCGCCUGGCGUGCCGAAGCUGACAGUAUCGAGAGCCCCCGGGCAAUCGAAUAGCGGUGGUAAUCAGGCUCCCAAGAAAAUCCGCUAAGCAUAUUCUAUAUUCACCCGUACCCCAAACGGACACACGUAGUCGGGUAGAAUAUACCAAGGCGCUCGAAAGACUCACGGUUAAGGAACUAGGCAAAUUGACCCUGUAACCUCGGGAAAAAGGGUCCCCAGUAAGAUGGGGCGCAGAGAAUAGGUCCAGGCAACUGUUUAACAAAAACACAGGGCUGUGCGAAAUUUCAAGAUGAAGUAUACAGCCUGACACCUGCCCGGUGCCGGAAGGUUAAGAGGAGAGCUAAUCGCAAGAGAAGGCUUGAAUUGAAGCCCCGGUAAACGGCGGCCGUAACUAUAACGGUCCUAAGGUAGCGAAAUUCCUUGUCGG
rnacentral:rRNA from 1 species